rnacentral:tRNA from 1 species
GGAGAGGUGGCUCAGUGGUUAAGAGCACUGACUGCUUUUAUAGAGGUCCUGAGUUCAAUUCCCAGCAACCCCA